AUAUCAAUAAGCGGAGGAAAAGAAACUAACAAGGAUUCCCCUAGUAACUGCGAGUGAAGCGGGAAGAGCUCAAAUUUGUAAUCGCUUCGGCGAGUUGUAAACUAGAGAAGCGUUAUCAGGCCCCGACCGCGCUAAAGUCCCUUGGAACAGGGUGUCAUAGAGGGUGAGAAUCCCGUGCUUGGCGUGGCUGCGGGGCUGCAGAGGCGCUCUCGACGAGUCGAGUUGUUUGGGAAUGCAGCUCAAAACGGGUGGUAAACUCCAUCUAAAGCUAAAUAGUGGCGAGAGACCGAU
rnacentral:rRNA from 1 species